CCUACGGGGGGCUGCAGUGGGGAAUAUUGCACAAUGGGGGAAACCCUGAUGCAGCGACGCCGCGUGAAGGAAGAAGUAUUUCGGUAUGUAAACUUCUAUUAGCAGGGAAGAAAAUGACGGUACCUGACUAAGAAGCCCCGGAUAACUACGUGCCAGCAGGCGCGGUAAUACGUAGGGGGCAAGCGUUAUCCGGAUUUACUGGGUGUAAAUGGAGUGUAGGCGGUUUAGCAAGUCAGAGGUGAAAGCCUGGGGCUCAACUGCAGAACUGCUUUUGAGACUGGUAAACUAGAGUGCAGGAGAGGUAAGUGGAAUUCGUGGUGUAGCGGUGAAAUGCGUAGAUAUUAGGAAGAACCCC
rnacentral:rRNA from 1 species